AGGACGAACGCUGGCGGCGUGCUUAACACAUGCAAGUCGAGCGGUAAGGCCUUUCGGGGUACACGAGCGGCGAACGGGUGAGUAACACGUGGGUGAUCUGCCCUGCACUCUGGGAUAAGCCUGGGAAACUGGGUCUAAUACCGGAUAUGACCUGCUCUCGCAUGGGGGUGGUGGAAAGAUUUAUCGGUGCAGGAUGGGCCUGCGGCCUAUCAGCUUGUGGUGGGGUAAUGGCCUACCAAGGCGACGACGGGUAGCCGACCUGAGAGGGUGACCGGCCACACUGGGACUGAGACACGGCCCAGACUCCUACGGGAGGCAGCAGUGGGGAAUAUUGCACAAUGGGCGAAAGCCUGACGCAGCGACGCCGCGUGAGGAUGAAGGCCUUCGGGUUGUAAACCUCUUUCAGCAGGACGAAGCGCAAGUGACGGUACCUGACAGAAGAAGCACCGGCUAACUACGUGCCAGCAGCCGC
rnacentral:rRNA from 1 species